UACGUAGGGUGCGAGCGUUAAUCGGAAUUACUGGGCGUAAAGCGUGCGCAGGCGGUUUUGUAAGACAGGUGUGAAAUCCCCGGGCUUAACCUGGGAACUGCGCUUGUGACUGCAAGACUCGAGUACGGCAGAGGGGGGUAGAAUUCCACGUGUAGCAGUGAAAUGCGUAGAGAUGUGGAGGAAUACCGGUGGCGAAGGCGGCAUCCUGGACCGGCAUUGACGCUGAUGAGCGAAAGCCAGGGGAGCAAACGGG
rnacentral:rRNA from 1 species